rnacentral:tRNA from 1 species
GGCUCCAUAGCUCAGUUGGUUAGAGCGUCGGAAGGUCGUGAGUUCGAUCCUCUCUGGAGCCA